AGCUUGACGGGGUCAGAUGUGUUCGUUUAGAGUUAGAAUUCAAUCGAUUGUUGGUUGCACAUGUAUAUAGUUAGUUUGUGAGUUUCACAUGUGCCCUGUGAAAUUGAUUCGGAGCCUACAAGAUAUCACAUAUUUACGAUUACCUUCUACAUCAACCCAGGAAACAAGAAACCCAGCGGAAAAGACCUCAAAUACGAACAGAGGGUGCACGUCAUCGGAUGACAACGGCCGAUGACGAAAUGAUCUGAGAUUAGGUCACUACCUGAUGAAAAUACUAUUUCGAAACCGGUUUUAAUACUGUAGUAUUUAAACAAGUUUAAAUAUUAAAAAGCAUAUUGUUGAUAAAGCAUUUAUUUAAAUACUGAAAAGCACAUUGUGGA